rnacentral:rRNA from 1 species
GAUUAACGCUGGCGGCGUGCAUAACACAUGCAAGUCGAACGAUGAAACUUAAAUGAUUUCUUCGGAAUGACCUUAAGUGGAUUAGUGUCGGACGGGUGAGUAACUCGUUAGUAACCUGCCUUACACAAGGGGAUAGCCGUUUGAAACGACGAAUAAUACCCUAUGAUGUUUCUAUCUCGCAUGAGUUAUUAACAAAUAUGUUAGCGGUGUAAGAUGGACUUGCGUCUGAUCAGCUAGUUGGUGAGAAAAAAGCCCACAAAGGCAACGAUCAGUAGCCGGCUUGAAAGAGUGUACGCCACCAUUGGGACUGAGCCCCGGCCCAGACUCCUACGGAGGGAAGAAGUGGGAAUAUUUGCACAAUGGGGGAAACCUUGACGCGGCGAGGCCGCGUGAUUUAGAAGGCCUUAGGGUUGUAAAAAUCUUUUGUAUAGGAAGAAAAUGACAGUACUAUACGAAUAAGGUCCGGCUAAUUCCGUG